GAAAUAAGGAUGUGUGGGACGAGUACUGUGAUUAUCCUCGUUGCAUUACUUGUAUGCAUUGCAGCUGAGGAUGAAUGUGCACGAAAAUUCUACGAAUGUCUGGCGAGUAGUGAAACCAUAAUGCAGAAAUUUAUUGAUACAGACAUAUAUUGCUGCAAAAAAUUGAUUAAUGAUAAUGAAGAAAUUUGGAGAAAA